GGGGUCGAUCAGGUUUCGACUUCGUGCAUUGAGCCAGGGGAAGCGUGCCGGUGCAGGCUAGAGACCACCGCAAGCGUCGCAGCAACCAAUUAAGCGCCGAGAACACUCAGCGCGACUACGCUCUCGCUGCCUAAUCCAGCGAAGCGUGUCUGUCGGCCCGGGGUCUGUUCCCCCUCCGGUCACCGGCAUCGUUCCGGGAACUUACCUGACGGCCCCGUCAUCCGGACCGUCAGGGACAUUUCAGGGUGACUGGGCUCAUCGUCCGGGCAGGUCUGCGUGACCCGGAGAGCCGAGCAGGGAUAGAGCGGACUGCGCACGGAGAAGCCCUGGCGAGGUCGCGAAGGACCCGGGUUCAAUUCCCGGCGGCUCCACGA
rfam:Corynebacterium variabile DSM 44702, complete genome.